rnacentral:rRNA from 1 species
AACGAACGCUGGCGGCGCGCCUAACACAUGCAAGUCGAACGAGAAUCCGGGGCAACCCGGUAGUAAAGUGGCAAACGGGUGAGGAAUACAUGGGUAACCUACCCUUGAGAAGGGAAUAACCCGCCGAAAGGUGAGCUAAUACCCUAUACGCUAUCUUUUUUUCGAAAAGGAUAGGAAAGCCGGGUCGAGGACCUGGUACUCAAGGAGGGGCUCAUGUCCUAUCAGCUUGUUGGUGGGGUAACGGCCUACCAAGGCUACGACGGGUAGCUGGUCUGAGAGGAUGAUCAGCCACACUGGCACUGAGAUACGGGCCAGACUCCUACGGGAGGCAGCAGUGAGGAAUAUUGCGCAAUGGGCGAAAGCCUGACGCAGCGACGCCGCGUGGGGGAUGAAGGUUUUCGGAUUGUAAACCCCUUUCAUGAGGAAAGAUAAAGUGGGUAACCACUUAGACGGUACCUCAAGAAGAAGCCACGGCUAACUUCGUGCCAGCAGCCGCGUAAAGUCUAGCAUG